rnacentral:tRNA from 1 species
GCCUUUGUGGUGUAAUUGGAAGCAUAUCUGGCUGACAAUCGGGAGGUCAGGAGUUCAAAUCUCUGCUAGCA